UCCAGAUCCAGCUAGUGGUGGCACCGUGGCCAUGAGUAUAUAUUUUCUUGUUCCUCUUAGAUGAAGACGUUGGAGGGAGUGAUAGCUCGAUGACAAUUGGCCUGAGAAUGCCAUCAUCAAAAAAGAACACAGUUCUGGAAGCAUUCCGGAGGGCCAUAUAUUUCAGGAUCAAGUUUGCUUAAAAUGGGAAGCUCCUGAAACAAAUUGCAGUCUCCAUUUAUAGCCAAUGAUAAACAAAGGAUUCACCCCGGCUAGAGUCUGACGGGCGAACUCAUUAUCCCUUAGCCAUGAAAACCUGUCACCUGAGAGCAAAAAAGAUGGAUCAAGAUUAAGCAAACAAGAUAAGCAAGCAUGUAAUGGUUGAGAGCUGUUCU